CUAGCUGUAAACGAUGGAUACUAGGCGUUGAGAGUAUCGACCCUCUCAGUGUCGUAGCUAACGCGUUAAGUAUCCCGCCUGGGGAGUACGCGCGCAAGCGUGAAACUCAAAGGAAUUGACGGGAGCCCGCACAAGCGGUGGAGUAUGUGGUUUAAUUCGAUGCAACGCGAAGAACCUUACCAGGGCUUGACAUGUCCGGAACCCUGCCCAAAGGCGGGGGUGCCUACGGGAACCGGAACACAGGUGGUGC
rnacentral:rRNA from 1 species